GUGGGGAAUCUUGCGCAAUGGGCGAAAGCCUGACGCAGCCAUGCCGCGUGAAUGAUGAAGGUCUUAGGAUUGUAAAAUUCUUUCACCGGGGACGAUAAUGACGGUACCCGGAGAAGAAGCUCCGGCUAACUUCGUGCCAGCAGCCGCGGUAAUACGACGGGGGCUAGCGUUGCUCGGAAUUACUGGGCGUAAAGGGCGCGUAGGCGGACAGCUUAGUCAGAGGUGAAAGCCCAGGGCUCAACCUUGGAAUUGCCUUUGAUACUGGCUGUCUUGAGUUUGGGAGAGGUGAGUGGAACUCCGAGUGUAGAGGUGAAAUUCGUAGAUAUUCGGAAGAACACCAGUGGCGAAGGCGACUCACUGGCCCAAUACUGACGCUGAGGCGCGAAAGCGUGGGGAGCAAACAGGAUUAGAAACCCUUGUAGUCC
rnacentral:rRNA from 1 species